GCCCUCUCAGGCUCGUACCUGGAGAGUUUCCAAUACUCUACCAGUCUCGACUACAGGAGGGAGAGUCAAGCAGAGGCCUACCCAAUCCAUUCCUAGCUUGGGCAGUGGCUAGUGAGUAGAAAGCCAUCUUCUACAAGU